UACGUAGGGCGCAAGCGUUAUCCGGAAUUAUUGGGCGUAAAGAGCUCGUAGGCGGUUUGUCGCGUCUGCCGUGAAAGUCCGGGGCUCAACUCCGGAUCUGCGGUGGGUACGGGCAGACUAGAGUGAUGUAGGGGAGACUGGAAUUCCUGGUGUAGCGGUGAAAUGCGCAGAUAUCAGGAGGAACACCGGUGGCGAAGGCGGGUCUCUGGGCCGAUACUGACGCUGAGGAGCGAAAGCGUGGGGAGCAAACCGG
rnacentral:rRNA from 1 species